rnacentral:piRNA from 1 species
UCCAGUCCAUUCCUGAUGCAUGAAGUU